rnacentral:rRNA from 1 species
UACGUAGGAGACGAGCGUUGUCCGGAGUUACUGGGCGUAAAGCGUGCGCAGGCGGUGAUGUAAGACAGAUGUGAAAUCCCCGGGCUCAACCUGGGAACUGCAUUUGUGACUGCAUCGCUGGAGUGCGGCAGAGGGGGAUGGAAUUCCGCGUGUAGCAGUGAAAUGCGUAGAUAUGCGGAGGAACACCGAUGGCGAAGGCAAUCCCCUGGGCCUGCACUGACGCUCAUGCACGAAAGCGUGGGGAGCAAACAGG